rnacentral:lncRNA from 1 species
GCGUUCUAAUCACCUGUAAAUGCACACUAAACAGGUGUAAAAAUUCAUAUUACAAGUGUUCAAAUCGCCUGUAAACAGACACUGGACAGGUAAAAAAAAUCACGUGUACAAAAAAAAAAGAAAUUUGACACUUGAAAAAAAGCUAGUGAAAAAUGAUAAUUACGUGUUCCGGGUAAGACGAUUUAAAACUCUUGGGCUUGCAUAUUUACUCCUGGGCCAGAGCGUCCAGUGUGCUCUCUGAACGUUCCGAAUUUACAAACGCCCAGAGCGCACUCUGGCACUCCAGAUUGAAUUUACGAACACACCCAUCAUCACCAAGAAACGUAUAGGUAAUGUCGAACUUUGAAAACAUGAGACAGCGUUUUAAAUUUUACCAACCAAGUACAACCACCUCAGGAGAAUCGGGUGGUUCAAAGGUAGGAUUCAUUCUGGUAGGAGCCAGGUCCAGCCACUCAGAAUGAGUUUCCCCCACAAAAGGGCUUUAUUACAGACAGAAUUACUCCUCAGUUUCAUCAACUGUUUAUUAUGUCAUUAACACUUAGCUCUAUAAGAGCUUGAGGUAGUCACCUCAUACAAGUACUUGGGAGUAUGGCUAGACGGUACACUUUCUUUCUCAGCACAUAUCUAAGCUGCAGGCUAAGGUUAAAUUUAGGCUUGGUUUCCUCUAUCGUAAUCGCUCCUCUUUCACCCCAGCUGCCAAACUAACCCUGACUCAGAUGACCAUCCUACCCAUGCUAGAUUACGGAGACGUAUUUUAUAGAUCGGAAGGCCUCACUCCCCCAUCUGAGAUAUCUACUGCAGCCCUCAUCCAACACCCGUUCUGCCAGUCACAUUCUGUAAAAAGGUCCUCAAAAGCACACACAUCCCUGGGUCGCUCGUCUUUUCAGGUCGCUGCUGCUAGCGACUGGAACGAGCUGCAACAAACACUCAAACUGGACAGUUUCCAUCUCCAUCUCUUCAAAGACUCAAUCAUGGACACUUACUGACAGUUGUGGCUGCUUCGUGUGAUGUAUUGUUGUCUCCACCUUGCUCAUUGUGCUGUUGUCUGUGCCCAAUAAAGUUUGUACCAUGUUGUGUUCUACCAUGCUAUGUUGUCUUAGGUCUCUCUUGUCGUGAUGUGUGUUUUGUGCUAUAUUGUUUAUAUAUAUUUUUUUUUAAUCCCAGCCCCCGUCCCCAGAGGAGGCCUUUUGGUAGGCCGUCAUUGUAAAUAAGAAUGUGUUCUUUAACUGACUUGCCUAGUUAAAUAAAAGUAUAAAAAAUAAGCAAAUGAGAUGCAACGGGUAGGUCUAUUCGUUCAGCACAUUCAAAAUGGACACCGAC